rnacentral:tRNA from 1 species
GCCGGAGUGGCGGAACAGGCAGACGCAGCGGACUUAAAAUCCGCCGCUCGCAAGAGCGUCCGAGUUCGAACCUCGGCUCCGGCACCA